GCCCGGAUGGCGGAAUGGUAGACGCAACAGACUUAAAAUCUGUCGAUCCUUGUGGUCGUGGGGGUUCAAGUCCCCCUCUGGGCACCA
rnacentral:tRNA from 1 species